rnacentral:rRNA from 1 species
GCGACGAUGCGUAGCCGGCCUGAGAGGGUGGACGGCCACACUGGGACUGAGACACGGCCCAGACUCCUACGGGAGGCAGCAGUAGGGAAUUUUCGGCAAUGGGCGAAAGCCUGACCGAGCAACGCCGCGUGAAGGAAGAAGUCAUUCGUGAUCCCGUAAACUUCUGUUAUAAAGGAAGAACGGCGCCUGUAGGGAAUGACAGGCGAGUGACGGUACUUUAUGAGGAAGCCACGGCUAACUAC